rnacentral:lncRNA from 1 species
AACUUCAUCGUAUUCUUCGUUCUUCUUUGCCGAUCUGCCCUCUCAAUUCGAAAAUGAAGAUUAGCAUAAGUCUUGAUGUAAACUCAAUUCGAAGAUGCCUUCAUCAAGAAUGAAGGUGUGUUUGUGUGACGGCUGAAUCUGAUGAAGGUGUGUUGUUGUUUGUUGAUUUGACAGUGGUCGGAGAUGAAGGGGAUUCAUCAAUCUUAAUCACAGCAAAUCUACAAAUGUGUUGGCACUUUUGGGAAAAGUAGCCACUUAUGCAUUGAAUCUAACUGGUUUCUUUUAUUGUCAAGCAAUCCCAAAUUCACUGUCCAAUGAGCCAUUAGACCUUUCGAGGGAUGACGAUGGUGACAUGUACAGUUUCCAGACAAAAAAUAAGAUGCUGACGUCAGUUUCAGGCCUCCUAAAUAUCAAACAGGGGUCUUAAAAACAAACUGCAUCGAUUGUUUGGAUCGUACAAAUGUUGCUCAGUUUGCAUACAGUUGGGCUGCACUUGGUCGCCAAUUGCAUACUAUAGGUUAUAUAGAUACCCCUGAUAUCGAACUAGAUUCCGCUUUAGCAGAUGAUUUAAUGAGAAUUUAUGAAAAAUGGGUGACACUCUAGCACUACAGUAUGGUGGUUCUGCAGCUCACAAUAAGAGGGUGAUUUUGGGAGGGAAUCAUUCUAAAUAUACGGAGGUCCAUGAUUUAAGGCAUAAAAGAUGUGGUUGUGGUGUUUGGGUUGGCUGCAGUGGCGAUGAAGAUUUCUUUCUGUAUGUAUACCUCUGCAUUUGUGUUAGCGAUGAAGAUUUCUUUCUAUCUACAUAUAAUGCUUCAGAGCAUAAUAAGUUAGCGGACUUUGUGUGAAAGUGGGUGCAUAUCUUGGCGGGGCAACCUGGAUUCUGAUGCAGCCAUGAUGGAGCCCCACCCACUUUGUUCUCUUUCAUAUGUGCAGAUCUGAGCCUAAAAAAACAAUUUUUUUGUCAAGUUUUAUUCUCAAUCACUACAUCAACCGCUAUAGUUUCUACUGAAAGUCGCGUACAACCAACCUCUGUUCAGGCGUGUUGUUUGAUUUACAGUUUUUGUGUUCGUUUUUUUAGAAAUAUAGUGAUGAAGCUUGAUAAUAUGCGCUUCGCUUUGAUCGUGUGAGUUUUAUCGUAUUUGUGAACCAUUUUACUUGCUAUGUGAUGAUUUUGAUCUGUUUGUAGAGGGUGAUUUUGGGAGGGAAUCAUUCUAAAUAUACGGAGGUCCAUGAUUUGUGUGAGUUUUAUGUUGUAAAGAUGAAGUUAGCGCAGAAUGCAUUCUGCUCAUGGGUGAGAGCGUACAACACGCAUCGCGGGGAGUUGAAGAGUAUAUUCAUGGUGAAAAAGCUUCAUUUGGGACACGUGGCGAAAAGUUUUGCACUAAAGGAGCAGCCGUCACUGGUGGGGAGAUGGGUUUAGAAGAAGCACACAGAAAAGAGGAAAAGAACAUAGGAAAGUAAAAGGUUUGAAAAAGAAGAGAAAGAUGGCAAACCUGGAGGAGAUUGAGUUAGCAAAUGAACGGUGAAAGAUGAUUGAUGGUGAAGGUGCAAAUUGCAAGCAAGCAGCUGGCUGGAAGAAGAAUAGAAUGAAUGGUUUGACAACCACCAAAACAAGUAAUUACAUUACAUUACUGAGAAUGAGAUGAUGGAUGUUAUGUUAAUGUGAUGGAUAUUAAUAUAUAAUAAUAAUAAUUGUAACCUUUUAGUUUUUAGUUCACUGAUUUAUGAAACUGUGUCAUAUUUUAUAUGAUUAACUAUUUACCUUUGAAGUUGUAUGUAUGUUUUCAUGAUUAAUGUUUAUAGCUUUUUUUAUGUCACAUGAUCAAGUAACUACAAUUGUUUGCAGACUCAUGCUUUAUAAGCAAUCAAAUUUACAUAGAAGGCAAUCCCUGAUGGGUUUUGGCCUCUUUAAAACGAGUCAACGUGAAUCACAAAUUGCUAUAUGGUGAUAUUAAUUUAGAUUCUCAGCCCCAACAUAAUCCCAACAGCAAGUGGUAUAUCAGCCUUGAGGUAUGUUAUUUUGCUCAUAUUAGUCAUUAUUAAAACUUAAAUUAUGAUCCAUUCUUAUAUAAACCGGUUUAUUUGGAUUAACUUAUAUUAUACAAUGAGUCAAAAAGGGUUACUCUUGAACUAACUUAGAACGGGUCAAAAUGGACCACCAUCGGUACCCAGUGCCAAUGUGUGUUGCUACUUGCUGUCGCCUACCAGUCACUGACUCACCAUUGACAAGAACCAUGACCGUUUUGACAUGUUAUGAUUUUAUGUUAUAAUGUUUAUCCUCUUUUUGUUAAGAAUGGCCUGAAGAAAAACACCCUCAAUGGGCUUACGGGGUGGGUUAUGCUGUGAACCAUGACAUUGCAAAGGCGAUUAACAAUAACACAAAAGGGUGACCUAUAGGUUUGUUUUAAGCUUUCAGAACAUAAAUAUCUCAAAGUUUAGAUUAUUUUAGAGUAAACUGCCAAAAUGGUCCUUGACGUUUGGUCAUUUUUGCCACUUUAGUACAAAACUCAAACCUUUUGAAUUUGGGUCCCUGUGGUUUCAAUUUUGUUGCUAUUUUCAUCCAAA